rnacentral:misc_RNA from 2 species
AACGCACAUUGCGCCCUUUGGUAUUCCGAAGGGCAUGCCUGUUCGAGCGUCAUUAUCACCCCUCAAGCCCCCGGGCUUGGUGUUGGACGGCCGGUGGAGGCUUUCGAGCCUCUACCCCUCCUAAAGACAAUGACGGCGGCCUCGCAGGAACCCCCGGUACACUGAGUUCUUUGACUGGACACGUACUGGAUCAGGGCGCCCGAGGACCCGGUCACAAACCCAUUUAUUUUCUAGGUUGACCUCGGAUCAGGUAGGGAUACCCGCUGAACUUAA